rnacentral:rRNA from 1 species
UACGGAGGCAGCAGUGGGGAAUAUUCCACAAUGGGGGAAACCCUGAUGCAGCGACGCCGCGUGAGUGAAGAAGUAUUUCGGUAUGUAAAGCUCUAUCAGCAGGGAAGAAAAUGACAGUACCUGACCAAGAAGCCCCGGCUAACUACGUGCCAGCAGCCGCGGUAAU